CAGACAUUAUUAUCCUAUGUUCAUAUAUGACUACAUGACUGGAGUGCUUUUACUUCAUGUACAACCUGAAGAAUGAGAAGUUAUACUCCAUUUAUGUAUGAUGUGUCAAAAUAUAUUCUACUGUCAUGUGUAACUAAUGAGAGCAAAUAAUUUUUUUAAAAAAGGGGCUGGGUUCAAUCCUUGGUUUAAAAAAACAGAAGAAGGAAGAGGAGAAAAAAAGGAGGGGGAGAAGAGGGAGAAGGAGAAAGAAGGAGAAGAAUAUAAUACCUGUAGAAUGUGGGGGUAUUCUAAAUCAUCACUAAAUGUCAGUUUACUUGCUACCCUGAGACCUCAGCAUCAUUUUGGAAUAAGGUCAUGUAUUCAUAUUCACCAUGCCCUAGUCAACUGAAAAAGGAAUAGCCUUCCUCAUUCAACUUGGCAUUGUAGAUUUUAAUCCUUUAAAUCAAACAAUCUGAAAGCCUUGACACAUAGUAGAUCAUGUAUUGAAAUCUCAGCCAAUAAUGACCAGAUCUUAUGAAAUAAAUUUGUGUUGAUGUUGAUAUUAUUCAUAUUAAAAUAACACGGGAACUUCUUGGUUGUGUGUCAGAAUGUGUGUGUAUGAGAGAGAGAGAGAUUACUCAGCAUUAAAAGAGAAUCAAAUUAUGGCAUUUGCAGGUAAAUGGAUGGAGUUGGAGAAUAUCAUGCUAAGCAAAGUAAGCCAAUUCCAAAAAAUCAAAGGCCAAAUGUUCUCUCUGAUAACUGGAUGCUAAUCCAUAAUGGGGAUGGAGG
rnacentral:lncRNA from 1 species